GCCCGGCUGGCUCAGUGUGAAAAGCAUGAGACUCUUGAUCUUGGGGUGGUGAGUUCAAGCCCCACGUUGGGCG
rnacentral:tRNA from 1 species